rnacentral:rRNA from 1 species
AUUGAACGCUGGCGGCAUGCCUUACACAUGCAAGUCGAACGGCAGCACGGGUGCUUGCACCUGGUGGCGAGUGGCGAACGGGUGAGUAAUACAUCGGAACAUGUCCUGUAGUGGGGGAUAGCCCGGCGAAAGCCGGAUUAAUACCGCAUACGAUCUACGGAUGAAAGCGGGGGACCUUCGGGCCUCGCGCUAUAGGGUUGGCCGAUGGCUGAUUAGCUAGUUGGUGGGGUAAAGGCCUACCAAGGCGACGAUCAGUAGCUGGUCUGAGAGGACGACCAGCCACACUGGGACUGAGACACGGCCCAGACUCCUACGGGAGGCAGCAGUGGGGAAUUUUGGACAAUGGGCGAAAGCCUGAUCCAGCAAUGCCGCGUGUGUGAAGAAGGCCUUCGGGUUGUAAAGCACUUUUGUCCGGAAAGAAAUCCUUGGCCCUAAUACGGUCGGGGGAUGACGGUACCGGAAGAAUAAGCACCGGCGAACUACG